CAGACGCUCCCCAGCCCUAAAACAAAUGCUCAUAUUCCUUCUGUCAUCUUCUUCCUAAAUCCCAACUAGGGUUCUUCUUCUUUCUCCUCUUUCUUUUUUUUAUCCUUUAAUUUUUCAAUCCAACCAGUUGUUUCCUUCUUGUUUGAUCCACUCACUUUCCUCUCUUACUUCUUUCAUUUGCUUUGAAAUGUCGGAAUGUUCGAGUUCUUCAAAUAGCCGUCGAAGGAUGUGUGGAUGUGGAGUUGCUGCACUCCAUCUCACAUCGCGGACUGAAAUGAAUUUCGGAAGAUGCUUUUUCAAGUGUCAUAAACCUACAUGAUAAAACUGGAUGUGGUUAUUGGAAAUGGGAAGACGAUGAAUUUCCACCAAGAGCUAUUGUUGUCAUCAACAAAUUGAAAAGGGAAAAGGAUGCUCUUCUUAAAGAAAGACUUGGAAACAGGGGGGAUAAAUUAUUUCUUAUGUUUCUGGGUUUCAUUAUUGGAUUUGUGGUUAGCUUCAUGUUUUGAGGGAAGACUUGAAAAUAUGGUUGUAAUUAUUUAUGGUUGUUUUAGUUGUAUAAUUUAUUUGCAUUGUAUUGUAAUGGUUGGAUGAAAAUGAUUGUAAUAUGCAGUUUAUUAUUUCUGAUGUAAUGGUUGAAAAUAUGGUUGUAAUUUAAAUGCAUUGUAAUGCUAUGGUAGUAAUUCGUUA